GAUGAACGCUGGCGGCGUGCCUAAUACAUGCAAGUCGAGCGAACAGAUGAGGAGCUUGCUCCUCUGACGUUAGCGGCGGACGGGUGAGUAACACGUGGAUAACCUACCUAUAAGACUGGGAUAACUUCAGGAAACCGGAGCUAAUACCGGAUAAUAUAUUGAACCGCAUGGUUCAAUAGUGAAAGACGGUUUUGCUGUCACUUAUAGAUGGAUCCGCGCCGCAUUAGCUAGUUGGUAAGGUAACGGCUUACCAAGGCAACGAUGCGUAGCCGACCUGAGAGGGUGAUCGGCCACACUGGAACUGAGACACGGUCCAGACUCCUACGGGAGGCAGCAGUAGGGAAUCUUCCGCAAUGGGCGAAAGCCUGACGGAGCAACGCCGCGUGAGUGAUGAAGGUCUUCGGAUCGUAAAACUCUGUUAUUGGGGAAGAACAAAUGUGUAAGUAACUAUGCACGUCUUGACGGUACCUAAUCAGAAAGCCACGGCUAACUACGUG
rnacentral:rRNA from 1 species